UUUGUACUCCCUCCGUCCCAAAAUUCUUGUCUUAAAUUUGUCUAAAUACGGAUGUAUCUAGUUACAUUUUAGUGUUAGAUACAUCCGUAUCUAAACAAAUGUAAGACAAGAAUUUUUUGGACGGAGGGAAUACUAC
rfam:Triticum aestivum genome assembly, contig: Triticum_aestivum_CS42_TGACv1_scaffold_234453_3B